rnacentral:lncRNA from 1 species
AAUAUUCCAUGGUGUUUCAGUUCAGUUUGUUGUGGAAUAGGAGGGUUCUGGCAACCUGAGGCAGCUCUGGUGCCAUGGAGGACCACUUACUGCUACGAAGUUUUACUGUAUACAAGUCCUGGAGAAGCUGUGUGAGGCCAUGUCAGUAUUGCCUGGAGACGUGAGACUCAUAUCAGACCGUUAAGGCUUAGCAUGGGAGAUGGCGGCAAUAGGAAGAGUUGACUGAGGAAGGAAAUUAGGAGAAAUUUCACCAAUGAAGCCCAAGGAUCUGGGUAAAGCAGAAAAGGCUGGAGAUGCCAGGCAAUCAUCAAAGCAGCAUGAAGGAAUAAUCAGAUCACCAGGGACAGACUGGCAACCGUUCAGAGCUGGAUGCUUCUCCUCUCUCUUCUUAACACAGCUCUUGGACUCCGUGGAGCCUGCUUUGUUGCCGCAGCUGUAGAAGGAUUGUCAAACAUGACAACUAGUGAUUUUGAAAGACAUUUUUAGUUUAGUAUCAAUCCCCAGGAAUUUGGGACAUUGAUGCUAAAAUAUAAGCAAAAUUUUUAGGUAUUAUUUUCACUUUCAGAUGAUGACUACUACUACAGUAAGUUGACUAUGAUUUAAAGGUUACACGAGGCCAAUUUCUUUAUUGGAAACUUUUUGUAAAAAGAUACUAAUGUACUGCUGUUUCUCCAGAACCUUUUUCUUUUCCAAUCAGCCUCUUCAUGGCCCCCUUGAACUCCUUAUUCCUUAGUGUAUAAAUCAAUGGAUUCAAGCUGGGAGUAACAAUGGAAUAAAAGAUACUGAGAAGUUUACCCUCAUCCUGAGAAGGACUAUUUCCUGGUUGUAUGUACAUGUAGAUAAUAGUCCCAUAGAAGAUAGACACCACAAUGAGAUGGGAAGAACAAGUCCCAAAUGCCUUUUGUCUCCCUGCUGCAGACUUCAUCUUGAGUACAGCUACAGCAAUGAAGCCAUAGGAGACCAGAAUGAGAAGAAGUGGUGUGAGGAAAAUGAAAAAACACAAUGCAAAUAAACUUUC